rnacentral:lncRNA from 1 species
GGGGCUUCGCCGGCCUCACUAUGUUCCAGGUGAUUCCAGUGAGCAGCCAGUGUUCAUACCCUAUUUGACUCAAUAAUAGAAAAUUUUAACAAGAUUCUGCCAUUUUCAACUUUCAGAGUCUGUUGACUGUAAUCUUGCUGCUUAUAUGUACCUGUGCUUAUAUCCGAUCCUUGGCACCCAGCCUCCUGGACAGAAAUAAAACUGGAUUGUUGGGUAUAUUUUGGAAGUGUGCUAGAAUUGGUGAACGCAAGAGUCCUUAUGUUGCAGUAUGCUGUGUUGUGAUGGCCUUCAGCAUCCUCUUCAUACAGUAGCUCGGAAAAAUGCCAGAAUUCAGAUGCCAUCGGAUUUAAAUAUUUUAAGAAAAGGACAUAUCUGCAGAAAAUAAUGCAAAGAAUGGUUAACCCUUUUAUCUCUGACGAUUGAAUGAGAUAUAUUUCCAGCUGCUGUUCUCUGUUUUUGUUAUUGGACCAAUGUUCUAUAUCAAUUAGGAUGUAAGCAUUUAAUACUCAGUGUUUAAAUAUGUAUGUAACGAUCAACCUCAGUACUGUCACUACAAUAUUACAUUCUUCAUAUGUCAUUCUCUUGUGUCAGAUACCAGUUUUUAGUGAGGUAUCUUUAAGGCACAUAGUAGAAAACAAAAUUAGUAAAUUACUCAAGUUCCUUUCACUGUGAUUUGGAAAUGAUAAAUCUUCAGAGAAUGAGACCUUUUUUUGGACUAGCUUUUUUUCUGGGGAGAAAAAAAGGUUCAAUUUGUGUUUGUAAGGAUUGCAUUCAUAUUUAAUAAUGCUUGCUUUUCCUCUGGCCACACCAUUUUGAGCAUUAACCAGAGUACCUCUACUCUUAGCAAACUGUAGUUUAUUACAAGUCUUUAAACUAUUUUUUAAAAGCCUAUGCAGUUCCUUAGGAGGAAAAUAAAUGAGGUGUGACUUAAAAGUAGUAUUGAGAAAAUGUUCCUAUUUAACAUAAAAGAAUUUGGAAUACCUGACUGUGUUGUAGCCUCUGAUACCACUCUUGUUAAGUAUGGAUAAAUGUCUUAAGCAUAAAUAUGAGAAGCUAACUCAUCCUCUAAAUAAGACUAAGACCACAUACUUAGAGUUCAAAAGAGCUAAACAGAACAAUUAUACAAUGAUAAUCCUCUGUGUGUUUUUCAUUCUUUCUUAAAAGGUGUCAAACCUCCACAUUUUAAUUACCCCAGUAUGCAAAGUGUGUUUUUGUUAUUUAAUACAGCACUUUAAAU